AAUGAACGCUGGCGGCGCGCCUAAUACAUGCAAGUCGAGCGAGAAGACGUAGCAAUACGUUUGUAAAGCGGCGAACGGGUGAGGAAUACAUGGGUAACCUACCCUCGAGUGGGGAAUAACUAGCCGAAAGGUUAGCUAAUACCGCGUACGCUCCUUGGACUUCGGUUCAGGGAGGAAAGCGAUACCGUGGGUAUCGCGCUCUUGGUUGGGCUCAUGUCCUAUCAGCUUGUUGGUGAGGAACGGCUCACCAAGGCUUCGACGGGUAGCUGGUCUGAGAGGACGAUCAGCCACACUGGCACUGCGACACGGGCCAGACUCCUACGGGAGGCAGCAGUAAGGAAUAUUGCGCAAUGGGCGAAAGCCUGACGCAGCGACGCCGCGUGGGGGAUGAAGGUCUUCGGAUUGUAAACCCCUUUCGGG
rnacentral:rRNA from 1 species